CUGGCGGCGUGCUUAACACAUGCAAGUCGAACGCGAAAGGGACUUCGGUCCUGAGUAAAGUUGGCGCACGGGUGAGUAACGCGUAGAUAACCUGUCUUCAUGUCUGGAAUAAUACGCCGAAAGGGGUACUAAUACCGGAUAUUCUUGCUUUUCAUAAGUUAUGCAAGCAAAGGUGGCCUCUGCAUAUGCUACUGCAUGAAGAGGGGUCUGCGUACCAUUAGCUAGUAGGUGGGGUAAUGGCCUACCUAGGCGACGAUGGUUAGCGGGUCUGAGAGGAUGAUCCGCCACACUGGCACUGGAACACGGGCCAGACUCCUACGGGAGGCAGCAGUGAGGAAUAUUGCGCAAUGGGGGAAACCCUGACGCAGCGACGCCGCGUGAGUGAAGGAAGGCCUUCGGGUCGUAAAGCUCUGUCAAGAGGAAAGAAGUGUACAAUGGCUAAUACCUGUUCGUAUUUCCGACGGUACUCUAACGUAGCACGGCUACUCGUGCCAGCAGCCGC
rnacentral:rRNA from 1 species